UUUGUAAAGGAUAUAUUACGAAUUGCCAACAUCAUACAUUAUUUUUCUCCUUUUGUAUAUUACUCCCGAAGCAACAAUCGACGGUGGAAAUCGGUCGAUCGUAGCGCUGUGGCAAAGCAAUCUGGCAAUGAAGAGUAAGAUGGGUUAAGGUUUUUUUUUCCUCACCGAUUCAUUAAAAGAUCAGGGCACAAGAUUGGGUUUACAGAGGGCAAAGAAGGGCAUGGCGGGGCGAGGCGUGGUGCGGCCCGUGUGGCUGAAACAUGCGGAGGAAGCGAGGCUGAAAGAGGAGGAGCAGAAGGCCGCUGCAGCCAAAGCCGCCUUCGAAGCCACAUUCCAAUCGCAAAACACCAAAAACACCAGCAAUGGGAAAGAGGAGGAGGAUGAAGAAGAAGAGGUAGCGGCCUUCAAGCCAAUCGGACCUGUCGACCCAGGAAAAUGCACAGCUGCGGGUACGGGCGUCGGAGGCGGAGCCGCUGGCACUGUUGCAUCGUUUGUCGUUAUGACGAGGGAUUCCGACGGCCGGAGGACUCCGCACGGUGGACAGUCGAUCAGGGUUCGAAUCCGUGCGGCGGCAGGGGGAGCCGAGCAGGAAGCCAUGGUGAAGGACCAUGCCGAUGGCUCCUAUACCGCCACGUACGCCGUCGCCAAGCGUGGCGACUAUUCCGUCACCGUCGAGUGCAACGGUCGCCCGAUCGCCGGCAGUCCCUUUCCUGUUUUCUUUAGCGGCGGCGGCAGUAUUCCGGUGAGUACCCCAGGGUUUGUCAACGGGGUUUCUGGUCAGAUGCAGACGUUCCCUAACAUGGUAUCCGGGAUGAUGCCGGGGAUUAUUACUGGUGCCAAUGGUGGGCUGGUUUUGCCUGGGCUUGGGGAGGUUUGCAGGGAGUAUCUCGGUGGACGUUGUGCCAAGAGUGAUUGUAAGCUGACUCAUCCACAGCAUCAUCAGUUGAUGGCUGCUCUGUCUGCAGGGGGUGCCAUGGGGGCCCUCAGUCAGAUGCCCAUGGGACCUUCGGCUGCCGCAAUGGCAGCGGCCCAGACUAUUGUAGCUGCUCAAGCGCUUCAAGCUCAUGUUGAAUCUGCAGGUUUAAAGAGUCAUGGUGACAGUAGUGCCUCAUCAAAGGAAACAGAUAACCAUGAUGUCUUAUCAAGAACAGUUCAAGUUAGCAACUUCAGUCCCUUGCUUACAUCAGAGCAAUUGCGUCAGCUUUUUAGUUAUUGUGGAACUGUUAUUGACUUCAGGAUGGUUGAUUCGAAGCAAUUGCUAUACGUGGAAUAUCCAAAGCCGGAAGAAGCCAAAGCUGCAUUGUCAUUAAACAAUAUGGAGGUUGGUGGGCGGCCUUUGAAUGUUGAGAUGGCAAAGUCAGUGCCUGCAAAAAACAAUGCAAGUUCAAGCUCUAGUCAAUCAACUGCUUUACCAAUGAUGAUGCAACAAGCAGUGGCAAUGCAACAAUUACAGUUUCAGCAAGCACUGAUGAUGCAACAGGCAAUGGCCUCUCAGCAGGCUGCUAGCAGAGCAGCAACAUUAAAGUCUGCUGCUGAGGCUGCUGCUGUGCGGGCUGCAGAAAUUAGUAAAACACUCAAAGGAGAUGGUGAUGGCAAGGAGGAAAAAGAACCGAAUGAAACAAGACGGUCAAGAUCUAGAUCAAGGUCACCAGUUAGAUCUCACCGCAAGCGUCGUGGACGGUCACGCUCCUUAUCUCCUAUUCGAUAUCGUCGAGACCGCCGACAGAGGUCAAGAUCAAGAGAUCAUCAUCAUCACAGAAGCCCUAGUAGAGAUCGAACCAAUUAUCAUAAAGAUAACCGAGACGGAUACCGUGCAUAUCAUGCUAUUUGGGAACGGGAAAGAGAGAGAGAUCGUUUUUCUCGAAGUUUGAGGAAGGGCAGAAGCAGGAGCAGGAGUCGAAGCAGGCCAAGAAUUCCCUCUCGAGCUCACUCUAGAUCACCCAAACAUCGAAAGGAAGGGCAUACUUCACGAGAGGUGAAGAGGGAAGAUCAAAGACAUGGUCGUCAUCGAAGGGGCUCAAGAGAAGGCAGUUUUGAGAAUGAUUUGCAGAUAUCUCAAGGAGAGAGGAGACAGAAAGUAAAGGGACAUGAGUCUGUCAAAAAAGAUGCAUGUGAUGUCAAGGAAGAAAAGGAUAAAAGGAAAACCUCACAUGGAGUUAAAAGAGAAGACCACAAAUCUAUGCGCCAUCCUAGGCAUUCAAAGUCUCCAUCAAAGGAUUCAAGAGAAGGCAGUUUGGAAAAGGAAAGUGAUAUGUUUGAAGAAGUAAAAAGGGAAGACCAGAAAUCUGCAGACCUUUAUAAGCAUUCAAAGUCUGUAUUAAAGGAUUCCAAAGAGGACAAAUUGGAGAAUGAUGCAAGCAUUUCUCCCAGAGAGAAAAUGAUAUCAAAGGAUUCAAGAGAGGGCAGUUUAGAGAAGGGUUUAAGCAUCUCUCCAGCUAAGAAAAGAGAGAGAUAUCAAGAAAGUAAAGAAGAAGACAUUGAAACUUCCUAUACUUGGCAUUCUAAAUCCACAUCAAAGGAUUCUAAACGUGAGAGGAGAGAUAUAACUCCAGAAGUGAAAAAGGAAAACCACAAAUCUGCCCAUUAUUCGAGACAUUCAGAACCUGAAUCAAAGGAUUCAAGGGACUUAUGCAUAUUUCCUUCAGCUUUGAGAGUAAAAAUGCCAGAAGUGAAAGGGAAAGACUACAAAUCUUCACAUCAUUCCAGCCUUUUAGAAUCCAAAUUAAACGAUUUAAUGAAAGACAGCUUGGAGAAGGAUUUGAGCAUAUCUCCUGCAGAGCAGAGGGACACAUUAUCAGAAGUGAAAGGUGAAGACCAUAAAUCUGCUUACUAUUCUAUGCAUUCAGAAUUCAAAGCAAAUGAUUCAAGGGAAGACAGUUGGGAGAAGGAUCUGACUGUAUCUCCUGCAUUGUCAAGAGACACAUUGCUUGGACCGAAAGGGAAAGAAUAUAAAUCUGCUCACCAUUCCAUGCAUUCAGAGAGAAAAUCAAAAGAUUCAAAGGAAGACAGCUUGGAAAAGGAUUUGAGCACGUCUCCAGCAGGUUGGAGAGAAACUUUGCAAGGACUGGAAGGUGGAGACCACAAAUCUGCUAGUCAUUCUGGUUAUUCAGGAUCCAAAUUAAAGGAACCAAGGGAAGACAGCUUUGAGAAGGAUUUCAACAUAUCUCCUACAGGGCUGAGAGACAUGCUGCCAGAAGUGAAACGAGAAAACCAUAAAUCUUUCUCUAAUUCCAUGAGCCCAGAAUCCCAAUCAAAAGAUUAUAUAGAAAGGAGUCUUGAUGAUGGUUUGAGUCUAUCACCAUUGAAGGGGAUAGUGGAGAGGAGUAAGAAAGUAGACAAAAGGGGUGCAAUCAGAUUAGAUGCAAGAGAUGUUAAGGAAUAUGAGGAUAGAGGAGGUGUGGCUUUAUCUGAACAGUCAAAGCCUGAAGAGGUAAUGAACAAAUACAGCGCUCAUGGGAUUAUUGUAGGGCAAAUCUUCGAAGAUAAGUGCCAUGAUGUUGUCAUGAAGAUGGAAAGUCUCACAGGAGCCAAGAGAAUAACAGAGGAUGUGAUGAAUGAUGAUAGUAUUCAGGAGGACAAAUAUGUGAGUAAGCACUCAGAGAGAAGUUGGAAAACUGAGGAUAGGGAAAGACCUGAACAGACGAGUGAUUUGAAGGAAGAAUGCAAGGAGGCUAAUGAUGGCAGAGGGAGACAUAAAGAAAAGAGGCACCGAAGAAAUGAAAAUAAUGCCAGUUCUGAAGUGAAAAUAAGAGAAACAUGGCAAGAUGAUGAUGUAGAUGAACUAGAAGCAAUUAUGCUGCACAAAAAGCAAAAGAAGUUAGAUGAUAAUGAAGAGGACUUGAAACAAAGGAAGCGUCAUAAAAGGGAGAAGGAUGUCAGUGAUAAGAAGAAAAGGAGAAGGCAUAAAAAUAGACACAGCAAAGAGGAUGACAGUGACAAAAAUGACUAUAGGAGGAAAAAACACAGGCGUCAGCGGUCUGCUUCUUAUUCAUCAGGAAGUUCAUUUUUAGAUGAUAGUGAGAGCAGUGAUAAAAAGAAGAAAAAACACAAACGGCGAAGACCUAUAUCUUAUUCACCACAAAGUUCGCCUUUGGUUGAUAUUGACAAUUAUGACAAUUAUAAGGGCUUGGGUCAGCGUGAGCAGAAACACAAAGGUGGUUCUAAUUCUGUGUCCUGCAGUCAAGAUUUACAGGACUGAAAGCUAUUUGAGCCAGGAAUGAUUGUUAUGUACAGAUUAACCCCUUGCUAAUAUUUCUUAUGCAUCAACAAUUGGUGCUAUAGCCUAACCAAUCAUCUGGACAACUUUUGUCUGGACUGCUCCUAUGCAGGUGUUCUUCUGAUGUGGGUGAGGAACAAGGAUCUAGGAGGUUCGUUCUCCAAGUAUUGAUGUGUGAAGGACCUUUAUAUGACAUUGUUUUGGCUUGUGGCCGAGUAUGCAAAACAAGCAUACAAUUUCCUUGCAGGUUGGAAUUUGGAUUGUGGGGGACGGCUGACGACCAACUUGCAACUGAUUCUCUCGUAUAUCAUAUAUAGGAUGUUGCGCUGGAGCAGGAUGGAGCGGGAGUACCAAUGCCCUUGAUAUGACGGUUCAUUGUAUGUCCAGCAUCAGAGAAUAUCAGGUAUGAUUCUCUUUGCUACCAUUUUUUUGAAGGAUAUUCUUUUGAUCUCAUCCUGUUAGGGUAGAUGCUUCUCAAAGGUCUUGAAACUUUUACAAGAGGAUUGGGGCAUGCAUUAUAUAGUCAAUUUAAGAAUUCUUUUUGGCCUUGAACAAUGGUUUGCCA